CCCUUAGAUGUUCUGGGCCGCACGCGUGCUACACUGAGUGGAUCAGCGGGUCAGGUUGCGCGAAAGUGUUUCCUAAUCUUGAAAUCCGCUCGUGAUGGGGAUUGACGGUUGCAAUUUUCCGUCAUGAUCGAGGAAUACCUUGUAAGCGCGGGUCAUCAUCCCGCGCUGAAUACGUCCCUGCCCUUUGUACACACCGCCCGUCGCUCCUACCGAUUGAGUGGUCCGGUGAGGCUUUGGGAUCUGAGCGGAAAGAGCGUUUCGCUGUUUCUGCUCGGAAAACUCAGUCGAACCUUAUCAUUUAGAGGAAGGAGAAGUCGUAACA
rnacentral:rRNA from 1 species